UUGUCUCAUUAAUAACCUAGACAGACAUGUAAAAAUGUGGGGGUGAAUGGUCCCUUGUCUGGGCUGCCCUGUGUGGGAUUGCCAGCCUGGUGUAGAGAUAGAUACAUAGAGAAAAAUUAAUGGUGUUUAUCUAUGCAGGAAUGUGGAUGCCAAUGAGUGUGGAUGACAUUGAUCUGUUCACGGGAGGCCUGGCUGAGAAGCCAAACCGAGGGGCACUAGUGGGGCCGACCUUUGGCUGUCUAAUUGGCAGACAGUUCCACUACCUGAGACGAGGCGACCGCUAUUGGUACGAGAAUGACAUCCCCCCAUCCUCGUUCACUAAAGGUGGCCUGGCUCAGUCAACGAUGCAAGAAUACUAGAUAAGUCAGCACUCAAACUGAUGUUUGAGGAACAACAUGUACCUGCAGGAUGCUACCUUCCCGGGGACAGUGGCUAUCCCUGUAAGCAGUGGCUCCUCACUCCUUACCUUCGCCCUCAAACUGUUGCACAAGCUAAUUAUAACAGGUGGGUUUAUUUGUAAAUAGUGUUCUGUUAGGUUUAGAUAUGCUUUGAACGAAUCUAGUAGCUUUCUCCCCAGGGCCGCCCUCCCGCGUGUGCCCGCAGCCCCUACAAGAACCGGUCCCUGCCCCCCUUUGGGCACGCUCUCCUCCCAAGGCUAAGUCCCCGGGGCGUGGCCGCCCAAACUAACCCCCCUCCUCCCAACAGUUCCAGUACCUUACGAUGCAGCCGAGGGGACUGACGCCACCACCACCACUGCCACCACCGCCACAACAAGGGUUAUUCAAAUGUGGAACAUGCUUCAGGUGUUGCCCCAAGAUGCCUCAGCCCCGCAGCCCCACUUCCCUAUGAUAGUGCAGGCAGGGAAUGUCAUACAGGUUGUUCCAGCUGACAACACGCAGGUAUUAGGGGCAGAAGUCGUUGGAGUUGGUCGGGUCAUGCAAGUGGUCGGAGUCCCAGGCUUUCCCCCGACCCCAGCCCCAGACCCCUGCCCCAGCCACCCCUCUCCCUGUGACCCCUGCCCAGUCAUCCCUCACCCCCUCCUGCCCCCAUGCGGUGCUGCCAGCGGGGGUGAUGGGAGGUGGAGGUGGGCCACACACACCUGGGUUAGCUGUGGCUUGGCUUAUCUCCCUCCUCAGCAGCAAAUCCCGAGGAUCAACGAGGACAUGGUGGACCCAGAGAUUGCAGCAGCAGCAAGAGAGAGAGAGAGAAGCAAGAGAGGAGGGAGAGGAAGGAGAGGAGGAGGAGAGAGAGGGAGGCCAGGAGGGAGGCACGUCAGAGAGAGAGGGAGAGGAAGAGGUUGAUUCUGUUACAACAACAACUGCAACAACAACAACAGUUAGUCAGUGAGGAGGGGGAGGGGCCGUCCUCUGAUGCUGAGGAUGAGGUAUUGUUCAGGGAGGCCAUGUCGGAGGUGCCGGUGGUGGGGUCGCCAGUUCCGGAGUACGAGGUGGAGGAGGAAAAGGAAGAGGAGGACGAGGAGGAGGCACGGAUAAGGAAGAAGAAAAGAUUAUUAGCUGUAGCCCUCCCUCCAGCUGAUAAGGGGAUAUUAAGGAGCCCUUCCUACAGGUUCGUUCGAUGCAAGGAGUUGGCACAGGAGGCGUCCGAGGCUGUGUAGAGCGGCCGUCUGAACCUGGUGCCACAGCUUACUAUGUUCAACAGAUGCCUGAAGGAAGUGUGUGUAAGGGAGGAUAAAGAGAUCAUGCUGGCCUAUGCAGACGAUGUCGCUGUCGUGACAGGAAGCCAACAAGAUCUUCAAGAGGCCAUGACAAGAUGGAAUGAUGUUUUAAAUAGGGAAGGAAUGAGAAUGAACAAACAAAAAACUUAUUUACUAGUGGACAAGCAACAAGUGAUGGUGUGGCUCUGAGCCACUGUAGUAGGGAUGUUAUGGUUUAAGUGUAGGAAGUUGCAAAUGCUCACCUAACAAUUGCACCUUAGUAGAAAAACACAAACAGGAAGUUUAUGCAAGUUUUUAUCCUUAUAUAAAAUGUUGUAUUGCAUCAAACCUCCAUACAUUACUGUCUCUAUCCAGUAUGAGACCGGUGUUCAGGAAGCACAAGCAUGUGCUGAAUAACAAGAAGCCGGCAUUGGUGAAGGUGACAACAUUUCAUCUAUUUAUACAUACUUUUUAUUAUUAAAGCUUAUCUUAUAAUUAUUUCUGAAGAGAUUGACUAAUUUUUGUAGUAUUUAUGACUUAGAACUAUGAUAAAGCUAUGAAUUGAUAUAAUUCCUGAUUUGUUUUAUCUUUUCAUUAUCCUUCCUUUGUUAAUUGAGCAUUUUAUAUUACUUAGCUUAAAAAUGCAAGAACGGUUCAGAAGUAUCCAACCUUGGGCUAAGGGCCAAAAUUAUGGUAUCAUUCAAAAUGUCCUUCAAAGAAAGCCCUCUGUAAUCCAACACACUUAGCCCAUUAAUCCUUCCAUUUCUCAUCAAUUUGUUCAACAUUCAUAUUUUUUCCCUUAUAGGGUUGAACAAUUUUCAUGGGUUCAGAGCAAAAGGCUUCCUCAUUCCUCCCCAAGGUAUUCUCGGAUGGUAAGCAGGUUUGACUCUGGAGCAAACCUGACCAAGGGCUACUGCCCAAGGCUACAGAGGUUCCUCUCCCUGAGGCUGAAUGCACCAUGUGAGAUGGUUCUGUUAUGUGGAUGAAUGUCAUGGUGGAUAGCAGUGCCACCACAUUCCUACAAUCAUCCAUCACUCCACUGCUCAAACGCUUCUGCAACCAAUGAUAGGUAUGCUGCCACAUUCUGCAUGGUCUCCUUGGCUCUCAGAUAAGGAUACUGUCAACAGGUUUGGGAUUGCCAAAAAAUCAUAAGGAGCUAUGUCUGAAAAGUCCAGAGAGAGAGAGAGAGAGAAAGAAUGAGCAAGAGAAAGAGUAGGAUGAAGCAAAGGAAGAGUCAAGAGGGAGGAAGAGAGAGUAGGACAAGAAAAAACAGAACAAAUAAAUCCCCUACACGUCUUGUCUCCAUUCACACAAGCCAUGAAAAGCUUGUCCAUCCCUGAGUGCUCAGAAGCAGUGUUCCACUGAUGAUGUGGAAACUUGAGACACCCAAUCAUUUAAUGGGCUUUAGUAGGUUUUGUCACCAGUCUUCUGUGUGUCACUGACUACAUUUUGAAAUUUUUAUCUGUUCUAUUUAAUUUUGUGUGUAUGUACACAAUGUUUAUGGUCAAUAAACUAUUUAUAAAACUAUUUAUCUGUGUGAGUAAGAUAAAAGCAGUUAUUGUUAUUAUUAUUAUUAUUAUUAUUAUUAUUAUUAUUAUUAUUAUUAUUAUUAUUAUUACACAUUUUCCUCCUUGUAUUUAAAUAUUAUUAUUAUUAUUAUUAUUAUUAUUAUUAUUAUCAUGAAUUGUUCUUGUUUAUAAAUAAAAUACUGUAACUGA